rnacentral:lncRNA from 1 species
GCAAUGCAGGAUCUGAGCCUCGUCUGUGACCUACACCACAGCUCAUGCAAUGCUGGAUCCUUAACCCACUGAGCAAGGCCAAGGAUCGAACCUGCAUCCUCAUGGAUACUAGUCAGAUUCGUUUCUUCUGAGCCAUGAUGGGAACCCCUUACAUUUUUUUUUUUUUAAAUUGAAGUAUAGUUGAUUUACAGUGUUUCCUGCAUUUCUGUUGUACAGCAAAGUGACCCAUUCACGCACAGUUCCCUGUGCUGCACAGUGUGUAAUAUGUUCUUAAACACUUUUUUUUUUUCCUUUUUAUGUAAGUUCCCAGAGUAGGGGUCGAAUAGGAGCUGCAGCUGACGGCCUACACCACAGCCACAGCGAUGUCAGAUCUGAGUUGCGUCUGUGAUCUAUACCCACAGCUUGCAGCAACUCUGGAUUCUUAACCCACUCAUCGAGGCCAGGGGUCCUCACAGAUACUAUGUUGGUUCUUAACCCGCUCAGCCACAAUGGAAACUCCCUUUAUAUACUUUUAAUUAUACCUUUAAUAUGAUGUGAUAACCUCAUCCAGGUCUCAACAAUGGACCCCUUUUGGCCAGAGGUUAUUUGACUGCUUUGGAGAGAUCUAAAAAUCAUAAUUCCUUGGUUUCAUUUGUGGCCAUUUGUAUCUCACCAAUGGCUGUCUUGCCCACUGUUGUUUCCUGGGAUUUUUUAGGGAAAUUCUGGGACAGAUAACUCCUUUGCCUGUGGAAGUUAUCUUUGGAAAUAAUGUGACAUUUUUAAUCUAUCCAAUCCCAGGUAGAUUUAAAAAAAAUGUAUGUACAUUUAACAGUUUCUCUGAAAAAAUGUAGGAAGCAUGGACACCAAAAUAUUAAACUAGAGUAAGGGUUCCCGUUAUAGUUUUCAUAGCAUCCUCUCUUGUAUUUUUCCCUUAGAGUCUUUAUCAGAAUUGAAAUUCAGCACUCGUGUGGUUGUUUAUCCAUUCCUUUCCUGGAAUGAGGAUUCCUUCUUACUCCUUUCCUAGAACAAGAACUCUGCCCUAUGCCAGGCCCAGGCUAGUGUAAACUAAACUUCCGAGCUAUGAAUGAGAGGUUCUUGUUUGCUUGUUUCUGCUUUCCUCUAGUUUUACAGUUUCUACCAUGAGGACAUUUUUCCUCAUCAUACAGUAUACAGAAAAAGGGAGUGUGCAUAAUUAAGGACGCUGUAUUACUUUUCAGAGAAAAUAUUUGUGCAGCUGAAAAAGAAACCUACUUGGAAAGAACUAGCAAAGAAAGGGACCCGUUGAGGCAUGUGUGUCAGUGGUAGGUUUCCUCUCUUGGUUCUAAGAACUUGAUUAGCAGAGGAGAUAUUCUAAAGAGAGUACAGAGUGUGCUGAGAUCAAGAAGCAUCUCUGCCCAUAAUAGCAGAUAAUUGACAUUGCAGCUUUGUCUUGACUUAAAAUAAUGACACGGUUCAUAUUUUGUUCUCUUUCAAAUCGGGCUUGUUUUUUUAAGGAAAAAAAAUAAGUGAGACUGCUUCUAUAGAAUCAUUUGUUAGACAUAUUCUGUUUCAGGAUUUAUUUCCAGGCACUUCAUAGUGGAAAUUUGGCUCUUGGAACUUAGGCUUGGUUUUCAUGUAUUUUCUGUGUCAGAAAAUUUUACUAUGUCUGUAAGUAAACUAGGUAGCAGACUCUCACCCACAAUGAUUUAUGACUGAUUGGGGGCAGUUAUAAUUUUUUUUAAUGUCAGUAAAAUUUAAAUUUACUACAUGCCAAUCAUUUUCCAAAGUCACACUGGUAUUUAAACCACAGAAGAAGUCAUUUGCAUUUAGUAGGGGCUGUAGGUCUGAAGCAAUGAUCAUUUGGUCAUGGAUUUUUUGAUUUUAGGCUGAGAGGAACCUUGAUGUUUUGGAAAUUCUAGUUUUCAGAUGACUGCCUACACCUACAGCCACAGCAGUGCCAGAUCUGAGCCACAUCUGCAACCUAUACCACAGCUCAUGGCAAUGCCGGAUCCCCAACCCACUGAGCAAGGCCAGGGAUUGAACCUGCAUCCUUAUGGAUACCAGUUGGGUUUGUUAACUACUGAGCCAUGACAGGAACUCCCAACCCGGGUUUUAUUUAAUUCCCUGGGGUAUUGGAAUUGGCACUGAGGAAGAAAAAUUAGUUUCUCUCCUGGUGGUUGAAACAGAGGACCAGAGUGAAGAGCUGUUGGAAGCCACGUUCUCUCCAGUGUCCUGAGGCACAGAGAUGGAGGAGUACAGCAAAUCCACAGAGAGAAUUUAAGGUGAAAUCAGAGGGGGAAAACCCAUUCCUGAGUCCUCCACAUGCUCUAGGCUCUGGUUCUAGACCUUUCGAGCAUGUCCCUUAGCCUUGGAUUCCAUAAUAUGAUAGUAUUCCUCUAAAAAAAUCAUCUCUGCCCACUUUUUAUUAAAACUAGCAAGAGUCAGUUUUAGUGACGAAUGCGCAUUUUUCCCUAUGUGUGUAGAUAUUUAUAGACAUAUUACAAUUCUGCUUUAGGCCCGUCUUCAGGUGGUAAGUGAGCCUCAAAGCUUGUUAAUUCAUGGAAAGUCAAUUAGCCUCUAGUUUAGUUUGAAGAUACAAAGGAAUAGGAAAAGUUCAGUUCAUCUAACAUUUCCCAAGAAUGAAAAUGUGUUCUAAGGAAGCUUUGCUGCAUAAGCAGAAAUACUUUAACAUGGAUUUGAGUGUAAAAACUUACUAAGAAGUGAAAUUUUACCUGUAGUAUUCUCUCUCAUCUGAGUCUUUACAGCCCACUCAGGUCUUAUUUCUUUUUGAAGGUAAUACACACAGCAAUAAUAUUAGCAUAAAUAAAAAGCGUGGUUUAUUUAUGAGCAUGGCUGACUACGUUUUCCUAAUUAUGUCUUUGCUGCACCCUUAGCUCUUGGAGUGAGAAGCUUGGCUAAUAUCAGGGUCACUCAAGCUGGUCUGGCCUCUGGACCUGCUAAUUUGAGUGAACAGCCACUGCUGAGAUUUGAGAAAGUGCUAGCCUGAAAAUAGGCAACUGAAAGACAGUUCUACUCUGGAGUGAUAACCAGCUAGUUCUCUUCUCUUGUUACUGAGCUGUAGCCGAGUGGAUAAGAACAGGAUCUGUGAAUUCAGACCCGUGUGGAGAUCCUACCUCUGGUCUUCAUACACUGAGUGACUUCAAGCAGGUUGCCUGAUCUUUGUAAACCUCAACUUCCUUAUCAAUACAAUGGGUUGCUAAUAGUAGGAAUUGGGUUACCCAAUACCUACUGCAUUGGAAAAUUUUUUUUUUUUUUUGCCUUUUUAGGGCCACACCCACAGCAUAUGGAAAUUCCCAGGUGAGCGGUCGAAUCAGAGCUGCAGCUGCUGGCCUACACCACAGCCAUAGCAGUGCAGGAUCCAAGCUGAGUCUGUGACCUAUACUGCAGUUCGGGCAACGCCAGAUCCCUAACCCACUGAGCGAGGCUAGGGAUCGAACCCGCAUCCUCAUGGAUCCUGGUUGGGUUUGUUACUGCUGAACCAUAACGGGAACUCCUGCAUUGGAAUAUUAUGCUUCAGUAAAAUAGUAUUUAUGAAGUGCAUAGUAAACAUUUAUGUCUUGGCAAUUAUUAUGGGUAUUAUGUAAGGCAGUUAUGACAAUGCCUAGAAUAUGAUAAAUGCUUUGGCUCUUUUAGAAGUAUCCUUAUUGUUAAAACUCAGUGGGUAAACAUCUCCCCUGUGCUAUCUGUCUCUGGACAGGAGGUGAAGAAUCCCUGAUUUAUUCCAACCUCUCAUUUUAUAGGCAGAGGAAUGGAGACCCAGAAGAGUGGCAGUUUUCUAAGGUCAGGCAGUGCCUGGCAGAACUGAGGGUGCAACUCAGGGACCUAUGUCUUAAUUCAGUUUUGUACCCACAAUGCUGCCUCAUUCACAUGCAGAAGAUCUAACAUAUUCUUCAGCUUCAUUGAUAUAUAUGCAAAGGGCACAGGACAUUUGCAAAAGAUACCAUUUGAGGCCAUCCCAAACUUUCAGACUUGAUAAUAUGAACGUGUUUGUACGGGUCAUUGUUUGUCCCAAAUCAUAUUUCUGUUUGGAUCAUGUGUUUCCUAUGUAAAGCCUGUUUUACUAAAAUGUCUUCCUUUGCUUGAUGGCGGAUUUUCACAGGGAAUCUGAGUUUGUAAUUACUUCACAGAUACUAUUUUGCCCAAAGACAAGGAGGAGAUCUCCAAGUUGUGUUGCUGGAGAGAUGCUGGGCCCCUGGAGUCUAAAUGAUGGUUCCAAACACUGACUGUAUCAUCUGGAUGAUUCAAAUUUAUUACCUCAGUGAAAUCUCACCCUAGAACGUGUCAUGUAUCUUUAGGUUUGCUCAUGAGUAAUUGAAACAAUGAUCGUUAAGUCCUUUAAUUCUAGAUGUUUAUACUCUAUAAUGGUUCCGUUAUACUUGACAUUGGUCAGACCGCUGUGUUCCAUGGAGGGCCAUAUUUUAAGAGGGCUGUAGCCAAACAUGAUACACAUAGGAACAAACGAUGAGAAUGGGAAGGACUUCUAGGAGUUGGGUUCUGUUGGCUCUGGAAGAGAGAUGAAGAAGCGUAAUAAAAUCUGCCCUCAGAUAUUUUUAAGGCUGUCGGGAGGAUGAGGAUUUUACUUACUCUAUCAUCCUUGAUAUUUUAGGAUGAUGUGUUUUAGCUUCUUUAUAAAGAAAAAGUUAGGUGAUACUUGAGUAACAUGAAUCAUAACAAUGAAGGCUGCCAAUUAUUGAGCCCUUAAUGAGAACCAAGUACUAUGCUAAAUGUUUUCCAGGGAUUAGAAUCCCUAUUUUAUAGAUAAUGAAACUGAGAUUCAAGUAAGUUUCAGAAUUGGCCCCAAAGCCCUCCUUAAGUGGCUGGCCCCUAGGAGUCCAGAGCCUCAUGAAGAGCAAAUGCCUCCCUCACUGGGUGGCUGAGCGGUUCUAGGAGGCUUCAGCUCUGGAGCUGCCUGCCUUGUGUCCUAGUCUGCCUAGUGAUCCUGGCACAAGGCUUGGGCUCAGCCUAGGCUCAGCAAAUGGUUGCACAAUGAAUGAAUGAAUGGACCCUGCAUUUGGUGGGAGCUUGGACUACUCUGACUGGUCUCUAAGGCCCUUUCAAACUCAUGAAUCAUUUAGUAAGAAAUAAAAUCACCUGGCUUUUGGAUAUAAGCUAGUCACAGCUAGUCUGGGUGGCUGGAUCUGGGGAGAGAAAGAGCCAGGUGGUCAGGGUGCAGAGGGCGUGAUUUUGCUUAUAGUCUAUUAAUUGGGCAUUUCCAGGGUAGCUGGUAUUUCCUUGAGAAUUGCAAACAUCUUUUGCCUCAAGUGCUUCUUUGUGCAUUCUGUGGAGCUUUGGGGAGACGGAAGACUUUAGAAGUCUUUGAAAAAUGACCCUCAUUGCCUUUGGGUUAGAGGCUAAUUUAUAGGAAUAGUAAAUGCCUUAUAUUAGUGGCACAGUCUGAACACUUGCAUAUAAUGUCUCUUUUGAUCCUUGAAGUGGAUAAAGAAGAUAUAACUUCAUUUUAUGGAAGACAGCGAUGUUCAGAGAAAUUAAGGGACUUUCCUAAGGUCAAAUGAAGUUCCACUUUCCCUCUAAGCUGCAAACUUGAUUGUCAUCAACCUGCUUGGUAUUUCCAUUUGGACAGAUAAUGGGUAGCUCAGAUCCAGCAUACGCUUUCGGAGCUCCUUGUUCCUGUUCCUUCUCCAGUGCUGUCUCAAGAAAUGCAUCACAGGAAACUCAGGUAUAUUAGUUUCCUAUUGCUGCUGUAGCAAAUUACCACUAACUUAAAAUAAUAUUAUUAUUUUACGGUUCUAGAGAUCAGAGUUCUAAAAUGGGUUGGCAGGGCUGCAUUCCUUCUGGUGUCUUCAUUUCCAUGCCUCUUCCACCUUCUAGAGGCUGAAGAAUCAGCCUGAUUUAUUCCAUAGCUGCUGGUCUUGCAUCACUCUGACCUCUGCUUUCAUUGUCACAGUUCCUUCUUUGACUCCGACCCUUCCGCCUCCAUAUUUCUUUUGUAAGGACUCUUGAGAUUACAUUGGGUCCACCCAGAUAAUCCAGGAUAAUCUGUACAUCUCAAUUUAAGUGUAUCAGCAAGUCUCUUUUGCCAUGCAAGAUAGCAUAUUCACAGGUUUGGAGAUGAGGAUAUAAAUUUCUGGGGACCAUUAUUUGGCUCACCGUACCGAGUUGUAUGGCCAAACCCAAGGUAUUGCCCUAUUUUUCCAUCCAGUCCAUCAGCAAGUCCGGUUGGGAUCUCUGCCAUCAUCAUCAGCUCACCCACCACCAUCUCUCACGUGGACCUUUGAUGCUCAAGCCUUUUCAUCUGAUCUCCCUGUGUCCACCCUUGCCUCCCUACUGUUUGUUCUCCACACGGCAGACAGAAUGGCCUUUACAAAUGUGGGUUAGAUCACACCA